ensembl:miRNA
AAAAAGUUCGCUUGGGCUUUUCCUAUAACAUCAGAUGGAAGGACCCAAAUGAACUUUUUGG